UACGUAGGGGGCGAGCGUUGUCCGAAGUUACUGGGCGUAAAGCGCGCGUAGGCGGUCAUUUAAGUCUGAGGUGAAAGGUUCAGCGCUCAACGUGAACAGUGCCUUGGAUACUGGGGUGACUUGAGUUCGGGAGGGGGCAGUGGAAUUCCAGGUGUAGCGGUGAAAUGCGUAGAUGAUCUGGAGGAACACCGAUGGCGAACGGCAGCUGCCUGGCCCAGAACUGACGCUGAGGUGACGAAGCGUGGGGAGCGAACGGG
rnacentral:rRNA from 1 species